GUUGCCAUGGUAUUUUUUUCCUUCACAUCAUCACAUUUUGCACCAGAUUCCAGAUUUCUCACAGUGAAGGAAGGCAGCUGGUUAUCCCUCUUCAGUUUUGUUGGGCAAGGGAUAUGGAUUUGCUUUACUUCCCGAGCUGUGCUCAGUGACAAAACACAGGAAGCCACUGAAGAGAGUUCCACUGCGUCUGACAGAGCCAUUCCAACUUUCCACCAGCACAAAUGAGAGGACAAGGCAGCUCAGGGACUUCUAACACAUCUUUAAGGUCUUAUACAAUCAACUGCAAAUUUGCUCCACCCAAUAACCACCCAGUCAGCAGGGAAAAAGUAAUAACAGUCAAAACACUACAGCAGUCAGGCACAGAGGUACAGGGAGAAGGAUGCUCUAAGUUCAGGAUGGCCCCUCCCUAUGAAACUUAUCCAUUUCACCUUCACUGUAACAGGAAAAAAGUGAUUUCUAAAUGCAUCAGUAAUCUAAGUCCCAUAUUUUGGUCCUUUGUUGCCCCUGAAUCCCUUAUCUUUAUGGCAGGCUGUGAUAUUAUCUGUCUCACUGCAGGACAGAAAAUAAGAGGGCUGUCAGGAUGACAUGCAUCUAAAAGCAUGAGCUUACUUUAAAUGAAAGACCUUCCAACAAUUGAAAGUAUUUUCUCCUUUUGGUGUAUUUGAUAUUGCUUUACUUGCCAAUAUGCUUGGAUGGAGGGCAAAAAGCAGGAAAAUCCUUUCUAAUGCCUGUGCUCAGGCUGAGCAAUAUGGAACAGAGCUGAACCUCCUGUGCUUGGGAUUCUGUCCAACCACUACCACAUUCCAGUUAAAAUCCACAUUUAUUUUGCAUUAUGUAUAAGUCAGUAUAAUAGAAUCAAAUCAAACAAUAAACACAAACUGUACUUCCA
rnacentral:lncRNA from 1 species